AGUCAUAUGCUUGUCUCAAAGAUUAAGCCAUGCAUGUCUCAGUACAAGCCAAAUUAAGGUGAAACCGCGAAAGGCUCAUUAAAUCAGUUAUGGUUCCUUAGAUCGUACCCACAUUUACUUGGAUAACUGUGGUAAUUCUAGAGCUAAUACAUGCAAAUAGAGCUCCAACCGGAGACGGAAGGAGUGCUUUUAUUAGAUCAAAACCAAUCGGUGGCAGUAGUGUUUCGGCAUUACUGUUCAUCGUAAUAUUUGGUGACUCUGAAUAACUUGUUGCUGAUCGCACGGUCUUGCACCGGCGACGCAUCUUUCAAAUGUCUGCCUUAUCAACUGUCGAUGGUAGGUUCUGCGCCUACCAUGGUUGUAACGGGUAACGGGGAAUCAGGGUUCGAUUCCGGAGAGGGAGCCUGAGAAACGGCUACCACAUCCAAGGAAGGCAGCAGGCGCGCAAAUUACCCACUCCCGGCACGGGGAGGUAGUGACGAAAAAUAACGAUACGGGACUCAUCCGAGGCCCCGUAAUCGGAAUGAGUACACUUUAAAUCCUUUAACGAGGACCAAUUGGAGGGCAAGUCUGGUGCCAGCAGCCGCGGUAAUUCCAGCUCCAAUAGCGUAUAUUAAAGUUGUUGCGGUUAAAAAGCUCGUAGUUGAAUCUGUGUUUCGCGCUGUCGGUUCACCGCCCGCGGUGUUUAACUGGCACGUUCGCGAAACGUCCUGCCGGUGGAUGUGUGACGGCAUUUGUUAAUUGUUUGUUGUGCAUAUUUUCGCUUCGUGCGUUUAUGUGUUACAGCAGAUUAAUUGCUUAUGUUUAGUUGCCAUCCGUCUUAAUAAUCCUGUCGCGGUGCUCUUAACUGAGUGUCGAGGCGGGCCGGCACGUUUACUUUGAACAAAUUAGAGUGCUCAAAGCAGGCUAAAAUUUCGCCUGAAUAUUGUGUGCAUGGAAUAAUGGAACAGGACCUCGGUUCUAUUUUGUUGGUUUUCGGAACCCCGAGGUAAUGAUUAAUAGGGACAGAUGGGGGCAUUCGUAUUGCGACGUUAGAGGUGAAAUUCUUGGAUCGUCGCAAGACGGACAGAAGCGAAAGCAUUUGCCAAAAAUGUUUUCAUUAAUCAAGAACGAAAGUCAGAGGUUCGAAGGCGAUCAGAUACCGCCCUAGUUCUGACCAUAAACGAUGCCAGCUAGCGAUCCGCCGACGUUCCUCCGAUGACUCGGCGGGCAGCUUCCGGGAAACCAAAGCUUUUGGGUUCCGGGGGAAGUAUGGUUGCAAAGCUGAAACUUAAAGGAAUUGACGGAAGGGCACCACCAGGAGUGGAGCCUGCGGCUUAAUUUGACUCAACACGGGAAAUCUGACCAGGCCCGGACACCGGAAGGAUUGACAGAUUGAGAGCUCUUUCUUGAUUCGGUGGGUGGUGGUGCAUGGCCGUUCUUAGUUGGUGGAGUGAUUUGUCUGGUUAAUUCCGAUAACGAACGAGACUCUAGCCUGCUAACUAGGCGUUACUUUCCGGUAUCCUGAAGGCUCGUGUCCAUUGUUUUCUGGUGUAUAUUCUUGUACAUUAUUCUGUUUCGGCAGGUGGUGUGCUUGGUAUGCAUUCGGUGCAGUGGUUCACGGUUUUUACUACCGGCGUACAUAUAAAUCUUCUUAGAGGGACAGGCGGCUGCUAGCCGCACGAGAUUGAGCAAUAACAGGUCUGUGAUGCCCUUAGAUGUUCUGGGCCGCACGCGCGCUACACUGAAGGAAUCAGCGUGUCUUCCCUGGCCGAGCGGCCCGGGUAACCCGCUGAACCUCCUUCGUGCUAGGGAUUGGGGCUUGCAAUUGUUCCCCAUGAACGAGGAAUUCCCAGUAAGCGCGAGUCAUUAGCUCGCGUUGAUUACGUCCCUGCCCUUUGUACACACCGCCCGUCGCUACUACCGAUUGAAUGAUUUAGUGAGGUCUUCGGACUGGUACGCGGCGGCGUUUCGACAUCGCCGAUGUCGCUGGGAAGAUGACCAAACUUGAUCAUUUAGAGGAAGUAA
rnacentral:rRNA from 1 species